UACGUAGGGGGCUAGCGUUGUCCGGAAUCAUUGGGCGUAAAGCGCGCGUAGGCGGUCAGGUAAGUCCGGUGUGAAAGUCAAAGGCUCAACCUUUGAAUGCCGCUGGAUACUGCCUGACUUGAGUCCGGAAGGGGCGAGUGGAAUUCCUGGUGUAGCGGUGAAAUGCGCAGAUAUCAGGAAGAACACCCGUGGCGAAGGCGGUUCUCUGGGACGGUACUGACGCUGAGACGCGAAAGCGUGGGGAGCGAACAGG
rnacentral:rRNA from 1 species